ensembl:lncRNA
GCUAGUUCGAACGGAUUUCCUUUUCUUGUAACAAAGUGAUGCAUUUCUAACACCUGUCAUUUAUCUUCUCAGUGAAGAUUCUGGGAGAAUCAGGCUGCUCCCUUGCCAACGUGGAGGUGACCAGUUCGCAGUAUACUUGGUGUAUCAUGGCUAAGCAGUGGGAGGGCCAGGUUUGAGUCAUUCACUCAAGUAUUUUAUGAAGCACCUAUAAGAACCAUAAGCAUGCUGGAGGUUGGGGAGACCUCGCUUCCUUUGGAAAGAAAUAGUUCAAAUAGUUUCAGAUAUUUUGGAAUUUUUGGCAUGGUGAUAUGAUUUUGAUUAUGUUUUUAAAGAGAAUCCUUAUCCAUUUUGGAGAUACACACUCAACUGUUUACAAAGAUGAGAUGAAGUGAUGUCUGAGGGCUUCUUCAGAAUAAUCCUUUUGGCAGAGGUAAGGAGAAAAACGAGGAGGAGAGAGGGGCCAAGAUUGGCAGGUGCUGGUAACCGCUGAAGGUGGGGGAUGGGUUCGAGGAAGUUCGCCCAUCGUACUCUGCUCUCUACUUUUGCAUACAAAAUGUUUAAAAUUGUCCAGACUAAAAAGUUUAAAUAUAUACAUAUAUAUUUUGAAGUUAUAUUCUGGGGGAGGAUGCGUAAAGGACAUUCAUACACACAUAGACACACACACAUACACACACACUAGUUUCCAAUCUGCCUAAAACCCCCUUCAGCAUGUAGAAUACUCAAACAUAAUACGUUAUCAACAGUAUAAUUAGCACUAGUGUCUUUAUCAGUAGGACAUUAUUAGGACUACGGUUUAAUGUUCUGCAAAAAAAAAAGUUUCUUUUUCAGAAACUCCCAAAUACUGUGUUUCUGUGUUGGUGAUUCGCAGGCGUAUUGUCGUAUUAAACAAUCUGAGAGGUCAUGCAGUGAAUAAGCCUGUUUAAUUUCAUUUAACUUAGUGUUUCCAAGCUUGUCUGCAGAAUCCCACCCCCUCCCCAUUUGUUUGCAUAACACUGAUUACCACUGGUAAAUAUCCUGUGGGAUACCAGGGUUCCAUGGAACUCACGGUGGGAAACACUGGUAUGAGCUCUGUCACAGAAUGAGUCAGAUCUUGUGGGCUGUCCUGGGAGUUCAGGCUGCUGUUGAAUAAAGUAGUGUGUGGAGGUUUGACAAAAAGAAGGCUUAGUGUCCUUGUCUCACGCUUCCUUUGUCCACUUUUCUUCUCUCUUUUCUCCCUCCCCAGGGCCCCAGUCACCCACUGCCACACACCUCGAGAACAAAAAGAGGUGGCCUCGUGAGCACAUCCCUCUCUCCCACAGAAGCAGCGUCUCUGACUGGUGUGAACAGGAGGGAGUGGAGACGUUUCCACUCCUUGGGGAUGGGGAUGAAGGCUCGGCUCCCCUCGUUCUCUCUCCACAAUUGCACACAGCUCGGGCCUUCUUAUGUCAAGGAGGGUUUAAGUCAGCAUUUGGCUCUAUCCAAGGGGAGGUAACCGACGAAAUUAAGAAUACGUAUGUAGUCGUGUCUUCUACGUUCAGCAUUCUGAUAUGAUGCAGAUAAAUUGUCUCUGAUUUUCCUCUGGCGACUUGAACUCUUGUUGUAGCUGUGCUUUGAAAAAUACUGUGAAACCUG